AAUCAAUGAUGUUAAGCCAUGCUAAUACUUAUACAAAUGGGAGUAUUUUUAAUAUUCACAUUUGCAAAUGAGUUGAAAAUUUGUAUUUCUGAGAUUU